CCUACGGGGGGCUGCAGUGGGGAAUAUUGGGCAAUGGAGGCAACUCUGACCCAGCAACGCCGCGUGAAUGAUGAAGGUCUUCGGAGUGUAAAGUGCUGUGAGGGGGGAGGAACACAAGGACGGUACCCCAAGAGCAAGCCACGGCAAACUACGGGCCAGCAGCGGCGGGAAUACGUAGGGGGAAAGCGUGAGCGGGAAGGACGGGGCGUAAAGGGGGCGGAGGUGGUUAGUAAGUGGGCGGUGUAAUUCCGGGGCGCAACCUCGGCGCUACCGCCAAAACUCUUAGCCUAGAGUGCAGGAGCGGUACGUGGACUUCCUCGUGUAGCGGUGGAAUGCGUAGAUAUUAGGAGGCACCUCAGUGGCGAAGGCGACUUACUGGACUGUACCUGACACUGAGGCACGAAAGCGUGGGGAGCAAACAGGAUUAGAUACCCGGGUAGUC
rnacentral:rRNA from 1 species